rnacentral:rRNA from 1 species
AACGAACGCUGGCGGCGUGCCUAACACAUGCAAGUCGUGCGAGAAAGUUCCUUCGGGAGCGAGUAAAGCGGCGCACGGGUGAGUAACACGUAGGUAACCUGCCCCCCAGUCUGGAACAACUAGAGGAAACUCUAGCUAAUGCCGGAUGAGACCACGAUCCCUUCGGGGGUUGCGGCCAAAGAUGGCCUCUACUUGUAAGCUAUCGCUGAGGGAUGGGCCUGCGGGCCAUUAGCUUGUUGGUGAGGUAACGGCUCACCAAGGCUGUGAUGGCUAGCUGGUCUGAGAGGAUGACCAGCCACACUGGGACUGAGACACGGCCCAGACUCCUACGGGAGCAGCAGUGGGAAUAUUGCGCAAAUGGGCGAAAGCCUGACGCAGCGACGCCGCGUGGGGGAUGAAGGUCUUCGGAUUGUAAACCCCUUUCGGGAGGGAAGAUGGAGUGGGUAACCACUUGGACGGUACCUCCAGAAGCAGCCACGGCUAACUUCGUGCCAGCAGCCGCGGUAAUCG